rnacentral:rRNA from 1 species
UUAACCGGAUUAGAUACCCUGGUAGUCCACGCCGUAAACGAUGUCGACUUGGAGGUUGUGCCCUUGAGGCGUGGCUUCCGGAGCUAACGCGUUAAGUCGACCGCCUGGGGAGUACGGCCGCAAGGUUAAAACUCAAAUGAAUUGACGGGGGCCCGCACAAGCGGUGGAGCAUGUGGUUUAAUUCGAUGCAACGCGAAGAACCUUACCUGGUCUUGACAUCCACGGAAGUUUUCAGAGAUGAGAAUGUGCCUUCGGGAACCGUGAGACAGGUGCUGCAUGGCUGUCGUCAGCUCGUGUUGUGAAAUGUUGGGUUAAGUCCCGCAACGAGCGCAACCCUUAUCCUUUGUUGCCAGCGGUCCGGCCGGGAACUCAAAGGAGACUGCCAGUGAUAAACUGGAGGAAGGUGGGGAUGACGUCAAGUCAUCAUGGCCCUUACGACCAGGGCUACACACGUGCUACAAUGGCGCAUACAAAGAGAAGCGACCUCGCGAGAGCAAGCGGACCUCAUAAAGUGCGUCGUAGUCCGGAUUGGAGUCUGCAACUCGACUCCAUGAAGUCGGAAUCGC